CACUCGCCAGUGUAAAUGGUAGUAGCGUCAGUUUAGAGGUUUAUCCCAUUAUGCAGAGCCAGCAACACUGCCUCUCUUCUAGACCUUCUCGCGCACCGUAGCUCACCAGCCGCUCCCCUCCCUCUCCCCCUCCCGCCCCCACUCCGUCCCAUCGAGCAGCAGUUGCGUUCUCCGACAGCUACAGUUUAGCGCGUGCCCGCCUUCAACAGUGAUUAAAAGAACUCACAGAGAAAGCGAACAAGACUAACGAUAUCUCCCAGUCAAGAGCAGAACAGCCCAAGCAGCCACAACUAAACAUCUUCCCUAGAACCUGUCAUGGGGACAUAUAUUAAGAAUAAGUUAACAUAUAAGUGUUUCUUGUAAUCUUUUUUUUGUAUCCUUGUAAUCAUUAUAUGACCGUUGUUCCCUGUUGGGAAAUUCCUGUUACAUAAAUAAAGAUAUAAUUUCUUAUUUUUA